GGUCAUUGGACAGUCUAAUAAUGUGAUUUAUGACAGAGGCUUUGGGACACACCAUGUGAGUUCCAACCUCCAGAAGGGGCCGGAGACCAAAGGUCAGCCAUGUGGGCCAUAUGUGAUCAAGCUCCAGUAAAAACUCUGGACACCAAAGGCUUGGAGGUUUAAGGGGCACUGACCCAACACUCUGGGACUCAACACCGUCACACUGGCUGGGAAUGGGAGAAGCAUGGCAUAGGAGUUAAAGAUUCUCAUAGCUGAUGGAUUACGUAUAAAGGACCUAAAGAUUCUACAAUAUCCUAACGGUGCUGAAGAAUCGCCUUGAUGGAAUAAGAACCAUUAGGUGGCAGCACAGGGCGUAUCUUGUCAAAUCUUUCUACAAUGGGCUGGCAGAUGUGAGGCACCAAACUGUCUAGCAAGGGAUAACUUAGAACCAUAUCAGGGCAAGCACUUGGGCUGAGACCAGCGAGAGGAUAAGAGCCGGCCAAGAGGCUCCCAGUCUCACUGUGCUGUUCAUAGUGGAAAGUGUGGAGCUGCCAGGAGAGAGGAGGGGUUGCAUCAUAUGGUGACAAAAGAAUGAAUCCCACCCAGAGGAAGCAGAGCCAAGAAAUGGAUCCCUGUUGUUUGAGUCCUGGAUCAAAUCGUGCCUGGAUCCCCAGUGAGCCAAUAAAUUUUCCUUAUUGCUUCA
rnacentral:lncRNA from 1 species